rnacentral:rRNA from 1 species
UGCGUAGGCGGAAGAUUAAGUCAGUAGUGAAAUCCUGCAGCUCAACUGUAGAACUGUUAUUGAUACUGAUCUUCUUGAAUACAGUUGAGGUAGGCGGAAUAUGUAAUGUAGCGGUGAAAUGCUUAGAUAUUACACAGAACACCGAUUGCGAAGGCAGCUUACUAAACUAUGAUUGACGCUGAGGCACGAAAGCGUGGGGAGCGAACAGGAUUAGAUACCCUGGUAGUCC